AGUAGCGUAGCCAGCCCGACAAUUUAGUCCUGCUAUGCAAAUAUUUUUGUGUUUAUUGACUAUAAAAACAAUCAAUUUCUAAUUAAGAAAUGAAUAAUGAUAAAAAUUUUGAAUUUUCAUAGCGGGGCUAAAUUGUCAGGCUAGCUAUGCCGCU